UAACGUCCGUCGUGAAGAGGGAAACAACCCAGACCGCCAGCUAAGGUCCCAAAGUCAUGGUUAAGUGGGAAACGAUGUGGGAAGGCCCAGACAGCCAGGAUGUUGGCUUAGAAGCAGCCAUCAUUUAAAGAAAGCGUAAUAGCUCACUGGUCGAGUCGGCCUGCGCGGAAGAUGUAACGGGGCUAAACCAUGCACCGAAGCUGCGGCAGCGACGCUUAUGCGUUGUUGGGUAGGGGAGCGUUCUGUAAGCCUGUGAAGGUGUGCUGUGAGGCAUGCUGGAGGUAUCAGAAGUGCGAAUGCUGACAUAAGUAACGAUAAAGCGGGUGAAAAGCCCGCUCGCCGGAAGACCAAGGGUUCCUGUCCAACGUUAAUCGGGGCAGGGUGAGUCGACCCCUAAGGCGAGGCCGAAAGGCGUAGUCGAUGGGAAACAGGUUAAUAUUCCUGUACUUGGUGUUACUGCGAAGGGGGGACGGAGAAGGCUAUGUUGGCCGGGCGACGGUUGUCCCGGUUUAAGCGUGUAGGCUGGUUUUCCAGGCAAAUCCGGAAAAUCAAGGCUGAGGCGUGAUGACGAGGCACUACGGUGCUGAAGCAACAAAUGCCCUGCUUCCAGGAAAAGCCUCUAAGCAUCAGGUAACAUCAAAUCGUACCCCAAACCGACACAGGUGGUCAGGUAGAGAAUACCAAGGCGCUUGAGAGAACUCGGGUGAAGGAACUAGGCAAAAUGGUGCCGUAACUUCGGGAGAAGGCACGCUGAUAUGUAGGUGAAGCGACUUGCUCGUGGAGCUGAAAUCAGUCGAAGAUACCAGCUGGCUGCAACUGUUUAUUAAAAACACAGCACUGUGCAAACACGAAAGUGGACGUAUACGGUGUGACGCCUGCCCGGUGCCGGAAGGUUAAUUGAUGGGGUCAGCGCAAGCGAAGCUCUUGAUCGAAGCCCCGGUAAACGGCGGCCGUAACUAUAACGGUCCUAAGGUAGCGAAAUUCCUUGUCGGGUAAGUUCCGACCUGCACGAAUGGCGUAAUGAUGGCCAGGCUGUCUCCACCCGAGACUCAGUGAAAUUGAACUCGCUGUGAAGAUGCAGUGUACCCGCGGCAAGACGGAAAGACCCCGUGAACCUUUACUAUAGCUUGACACUGAACAUUGAGCCUUGAUG
rnacentral:rRNA from 1 species